rnacentral:rRNA from 1 species
CCUACGGGUGGCUGCAGUGAGGAAUAUUGGUCAAUGGGCGAGAGCCUGAAGCAGCCACGUCGCGUGAAGGAUGAAGGAUCUAUGGUUUGUAAACUUCUUUUAUAUGGGAAUAAAUUGCGGUACGUGUUUCUUUUUCUAUGUCUCAUUUGAAUCCGCCUCGGUCAAUUCCGUGCCAGCAGCCGCGGUAAUACGGAGGUUGCGAGCGUUACCCGGAUUUAUUGGGUUUAAAGGGUGCGUAGGUGGUUAAUUAAGUCAGAGGUGAAAGUUUGUGGCUCAACUAUGAAAUUGCCGUUGAAACUGGUUGACUUGAGUAUAUGUGAGGUAGGCGGAAUUCGUGGUGUAGCGGUGAAAUGCGUAGAUAUCACGAAGAACUCCGGUGGCGAAGGCAGCUUACUAAACUAUAACUGACACUGAGGCACGAAAGCGUGGGGAGCAAACAGGAUUAGAUACCCUAGUAGUC